UGACCUUAUGAAGUAUCCACUUCAGGAGUACGAAGCGCAGUAUAAUUUUUACAGAUCAUCCUAAACCUGAGAAGCAAGCAUUGCCUGUGCUAUAAGAUUCCUUAUGUCAGCUGGGGGUCUCCACAAUGAAAGGCUAACCUCAGAUACCUGGAAUUAUUAUCAUUUGUUUUAUUAUUCUUUGAUAAAUAGAGACAUUGGAGACAGAUCACAUGAGGACAACAUGAAUUGGCCAAUAGCAACUCAUUCAGAUCUGGUAGACAUGAGGCGGCUUCUCCAAGCCAGACUGAGAUCAAAAUGACAUGAUGACUUUCACUUAGUUUUAGUUUCCAUAGUAGAGGCCGAUAUCUAGUGUUAAAGGGGU